UGCGUAGGCGGCCUAUUAAGUCAGUGGUGAAAGGUAUCAGCUUAACUGAUGACGUGCUAUUGAAACUGAUAGGCUUGAGUACAGACGAGGUAGGCGGAAUUUAUGGUGUAGCGGUGAAAUGCAUAGAUACCAUAAAGAACACCAAUUGCGAAGGCAGCUUACUAGACUGAGACUGACGCUGAGGCACGAAAGCGUGGGGAGCGAACAGGAUUAGAUACCCUGGUAGUCC
rnacentral:rRNA from 1 species